rnacentral:pre_miRNA from 11 species
UUCUACCAUGUUAGUGCUAGGUGGGUAUAAUUGAAAGACCCCCGAAGGGAGACCCCCGCUCAAAUCUCGGGAAUAGCGAGCACCCAGUGAGGCACGGAGACCG